rnacentral:rRNA from 1 species
GACCUCGGAUCAGGUAGGAAUACCCGCUGAACUUAAGCAUAUCAAUAAGCGGAGGAAAAGAAACUAACUAGGAUUCCCUUAGUAACGGCGAGUGAACCGGGAUGAGCUCAAAUUUAAAAUCUGGCGUCUUUCAGGCGUCCGAGUUGUAAUCUAUAGAGGCGUUUUCCGCGCCGGACCGCGUCCAAGUCUCUUGGAAUAGAGUAUCAAAGAGGGUGACAAUCCCGUACUUGACGCGACAACCGGUGCUCUGUGAUACGUUCUCAAUGAGUCGAGUUGUUUGGGAAUGCAGCUCUAAAUGGGUGGUAAAUUCCAUCUAAGGCUAAAUAUUGGCGAGAGACCGAUAGAG